rnacentral:rRNA from 1 species
UAGACAAAAGGCAGAUAACAUAAAAUUAACUGAGUAAACAGGACAAACAAAGUACCCCCUGCCCUCCUGUCUUUGGUUGGGGCGACCGUGGGGAAACAAACAUCCCCCAUGUGGAAUGGGAACUAUUCCUCGAAACCAGAGCCACAGCUCUAAUAAACAGAACUUCUGACCAAAAAGACCCGGCUAAAGCCGAUCAACGGACCGAGUUACCCUAGGGAUAACAGCGCAAUCCCCUUUUAGAGCCCAUAUCGACAAGGGGGUUUACGACCUCGAUGUUGGAUCAGGACAUCCUAAUGGUGCAGCCGCUAUUAAG